AUGGUCACCACAACUGUCCUGGCUCUGCCAGAUUUUGCGCGGCCGUUGACGAUCGAGACGGACGCCUGCGACACGGGCGUGGGCGUGGUGCUCGCACAGGAUGGGCACCCCGUUGCGUUCUUCAGCAAGGCUCUGGGCGUUCGCAACCAGAAGCUCUCCACCUACGAGAAGGAGUUCUUCGCCGUGAUGAUGGCCGUCGACAAGUGGCGUCAGUACUUGCAGCGCGGCCCCUUCGACAUCGUCACAGAUCACAAGUCUGUCUGUAACCUGGGCAAAAAACACCUGGAGACAGAGCUCCAGCGCAAGGCCAUGGCGAAGCUGGUGGGGUUACAAUUUCGCUUCCAGUACAGACGGGAGCUGGACAACGGCGCCGCCGACGCGCUCUCGCGCGUGGGCAAAUAG
rnacentral:rRNA from 1 species